AGCUAUCUGGGCAUAGUGGUUAGAGUUUUGGACUAUGACUCUGGAGACCAGGGUUCAAUUCCCAUCUCAGCCA